rnacentral:lncRNA from 1 species
GGACUGGAGAGACAGAAAGGGUAGUAGCUAUAGAGACGGGAGAGAAGAGAAGGGUAGUAGCUAGGACGAGGAGAGAAGAGAAAGGUAGUAGCUAGGGACUGGAGAGAAAAAGAGAAGGGUAGUAGCUAGGGACUGGAGAGAGAGGAGGGUAGUAGCUAGGGACUGGAGCGAGAGAAAGGUAGUAGCUAGGAUGCGAGAGAGAGGAGGGAGAUAGAGAGAGAGCGAAUAAGGUAGUAGCUAGGGACUGGAGAGAGAGCGAGAAGGGGAGCAUACUGGGGACUGGAGAAGAGGAGAUAGCGGGGUAGUAGUAGACUGAGGAGAAUAGAGAGAGCGAGAGA